rnacentral:rRNA from 1 species
CCUACGGGAGGCAGCAGUGGGGGAUAUUGCACAAUGGGCGAAAGCCUGAUGCAGCAACGCCGCGUGAGAGAUGAAGGCCUUCGGGUCGUAAAGCUCUGUCCUCAAGGAAGAUAAUGACGGUACUUGAGGAAGAAGCCCCGGCUAACUACGUGCCAGCAGCCGCGGUAAUACUUAGGGGGCUAGCGUUAUCCGGAAUUACUGGGCGAAAAGGGGGCGUAGGCGGUUUCUUAAGGCGGAGGUGAAAGGCUGCGGCCCAACCCUAGUAAGCCUUUGCAAAUGGGUGACUUGAGUGCAGGAGAGGAGAGUGGAAUUCCUAGUGUAGCGGUGAAAUGCGUAGAUAUUAGGAGGAACACCAGUGGCGAAGGCGGCCCUCUGGACUGUGACUGACAUUGAGGCACGAAAGCGUGGGGAGCAAACAGGAUUAGAUACCCGAGUAGUC